rnacentral:snRNA from 1 species
GGAUGUGAGGGCGAUCUGGCUGCGACAUCUGUCACCCCAUUGAUCGCCAGGGUUGAUUCGGCUGAUCUGGCUGGCUAGGCGGGUGUCCCCUUCCUCCCUCACCGCUCCAUGUGCGUCCCUCCCGAAGCUGCGCGCUCGGUCGAAGAGGACGACCUUCCCCGAUAGAGGAGGACCGUUCUUCAGUCAAGGGUAUACGAGUAGCUGCGCUCCCCUGCUAGAACCUCCAAACAAGCUCUCAAGGUCCAAUUGUAGGAGAACGUAGGGUAGUCAAGCUUCCAAGACUCCAGACACAUCCAAAUGAGGCGCUGCACGUGGCAGUCUGCCUUUCUUU